GUAUAGUUUAUAGUAUGGUGUACCAUGAUGUGCUCUGACACUAAGGAAUAUCCAUUGAAACUCUCAGGAUACUCCAGGGUACAAUCCAUGCAUGUACCCUGCUAGGGUGCGUACAUUGGCUGUAGUCAUGCAGGGUUAGCUUUUUUAUAGAUCACUACUGUGACACUAGGAUCACAUUGUGAAGAUUAUUCUUCAGUAUCCAAUCAAAACUACCGGACCACAUUGGAACUGGGUUGUGUGAAGUUGUAGAUGUGGUUUGUUAAGUGCAAGCACACCCACACAAAAUGUGUGCAUGGCAGGAUCAAAGAGUGUUUACUACUACUACUCAGUUGUAAAUGGGUUGGAUAACAGCAAUACUUGUUGCCCAGUGAGUGGGCAGAUCAAAGCAAUCCAGUGCUCAGUAUAUGGCAUGAUGCAUCACAACCCAUGGUACAACUAUUACUUGUACAGUUAUACGUUGUUAUACAUGCAGUAUGGUUUAUUUAUGUGCAUUUCAAGUGAGAGGAAAGUUUUAAUAAUCCCUUUUCUUGAUCUCUCUGUGUAUACUACAGGAAGGCUAUGGCACUGUCCCAUGCUAAGCUGAGACUUAGCUAUACAAGACGAUGCUCUGUUGGCUGUACUGUUUUAUGAGGAGUGCUUGGUGGGCCGUUUCAGUGAGACUUUAUACGCUGUAUUGUAGAUCAGUUGAAUACAGAAUACAUGCAUGGGAUUUAAGUUAUGGUUUAAACACACAGGAGGGUGUAGUUUUAACAGCCAUAACUUUAGUAUUAAAAUAUUGAUACUAUUUCAAAAUCUUAAAAUACUUACCUUUCAUGAUACGUGUUUAAAUCCAAAAUUUGGUGGGGGUUAUAAUUAAUUUUGUCAUUUUUCGGCCUUGGACCAUGGGCUAUAAGAUCUAGAUCUAUCAGGCCAAUAUUAGUAAUCCCAAAUGUGAACUUUGUUUGACACCAUUUAAAAGGUCUCUUUAUUAAGUUAUGGCAACUGAAAGAGUCCCCGAACCAUUGAUUACAAGCGUCAGGAGUGCAUUCCUGAAAACGUCCAUGCAUAAUUAUAAAUGUUGAUAUACUCAUUACAAAAAAAUGGUCAUUUCUAUAGUAUAUAUAUAAAGCUCUCUAGUUUGAGCUCUGUGGAAGGAAGGGUAUAUUACGCUAUUUUGAUACAGGUUACUCUGUGUUGAACGUGAGCCCCUUCCCUCACCUGAUGGACUCCGGGGACAGUGGCUUCAUUGGGGCAGAGUGUUAGCAAACCGGUAAAACCCAUGCAAGCCAAGAAUUAUAUUUAUUUCCAUGAUGGUUUGCUGGCUUCAUGCGUGGACUACUGAAGAGAGUUGUGGAGUUAUGCAAGUGCUCUAACCCAACCGCCCUGCUCAGAGAAGAAUAAUUAUCUUGUGACUUAUUAUCUACGUGUAACACUCUAUUUUCAUAGAUCAAAUCAAUCACAAUUAUACCUGUAUACCAUACAUGCUGUCAGUCCAAUUAUAAGUUGAUCAGCUAGAUUUUUUAUUUUCGUUUUUAUUGAUGCGUUUUUGAGUACUGCGUGUCAUCUCAAUCGAUUUUUGAUAUAACUGAAGCCAAUUUUAUUUUGUAGCUCUUUUAAAAGCCUAUUAAUUUUGUCCUGGC